rnacentral:rRNA from 1 species
UACGGAAGGGGCAAGCGUUGUUCGGAAUCAUUGGGCGUAAAGGGCGCGUAGGUGGUCUUGUAUGUCUUCCGUGAAAGCCCACAGCUCAACUGUGGUGUGUCGGGAGAAACUGCAGGACUUGAGGCUGGGAGGGGCUGGUGGAAUUCCCUGUGUAGCGGUGAAAUGCGUAGAGAUGGGGGAGAACACUCGUGGCGAAGGCGGCCAGCUAGACCAGUUCUGACACUGAGGCGCGAUAGCGUGGGGAGCAAACAGG